GACGAACCGUGCGAACGUUAUUCGGAAUCACUGGGCUUAAAGCGCGUGUAGGCGGGGUGGCACGUCGGUCGCUGAAAGCCCCCGGCUCAACCGGGGAAGGGGCGCCGAUACGACCACCCUGGAGGGACGUAGGGGGACCUGGAACUUCCGGUGGAGCGGUGAAAUGCGUUGAGAUCGGAAGGAACGCCGUGCGAAAGCGAGGUCCUGGACGUUUACUGACGCUGAGACGCGAAAGCCAGGGGAGCGAACGGG
rnacentral:rRNA from 1 species